GCAAUUUAUCCCAUAAUCUGAUGAAUUUGCAAUGUCUCUGAUGCAAAAUGUCAAGAUGAUCUCUAUGAAUUAUUUAAUUAUCUUUGGUGUGAAGCUAGUACGAUCAGCUGCUUUGAAAUUCCUUUUAAUUGUGAAGAGGAUACCACAAUGGUUGUAGGGUGCUGGGUUUCUUGUUUCCAUGAUUUAGGGACUCAAGCUUUGUGCUAUACAUAUCACCGUCUCUGAUUGAUCGACCCUCAACACAAUCGAGUAAUGAAUAAGCAUGAUAUCUAAAUACCCAUAAUAAAGAAAUCCAAUCAAUAAUUAAAUAGAAAUAAAAUAUAUUAAUGCUGAGACGAAUCGAUCGUGAAUAUGAAUAAGCAAGUCUGGGUCCUUCAGAAAGAACUUUGAUAUAAAAAGGAUUAUAUUUCUUUAAAUAAAACUGCGGAGUACUUUCUCUUGCUGUUUUCCAUAUUUAUAUCUUUGCUAUUUAUAAUACUUUGGUAUAUUUUGUGCCCCAUCCGGCCUAAGAUAUGAAAUCCUCUAGUGAUCCGAAUGAGUGAUGCUUCUCAAUUGUUUCACACCGUUUUGAAAGACUGAUUUCAUAAACCAUGUUUUAUCAGUUGUUUUCCCCUUAAAGGGUGGCGCAAAAAAAGUUGCUUCAAGGCAUACUGAGAUAUUAUGCUUGAGGACUGAAAUGCAUUUGCCGCUUUGGUUUGGGUUUGACUUGAUUCCUCUGUCAUUCAGAAAAUGCUCUUGCGCAGGUCCUCAAUGAAGCCAAUCUCACAAACGCUAUCCUCGUCAGAUCAGUACUCACUCGCAGUGAUCUUGGCGGCGCAACGAUUGAGGGUGCUGACUUCAGUGAUGCGGUCAUAGACCUUCUCCAAAAGCAGGUAUUUUUCGUUGAGAAAGGCACUUCAUGCUUUCUGACGUAUUUAUUUAUGUAUUGCUUCUUAUGGCUUUCUGUAUCAUUCGACGUCAAGAAGAAAGAAGCUACCUCCUUUCUUUAACUCAGGGGCAUCCUUUAAAACUCCGAUUUCCAAAUCAUGUGAUGAACAUAACCAAUGGCCGUCAAUGUUUUAUGCAUUGGGUGCUAGAAUCUGAUGCAACAUGAUAGAAAGACAAGGUUUUUGAGUAAUUGUGGUGCAAAUCUAGUUUAAUGCUGAUGACGGGACCUGAGAUGAACCUUGAUAAUUUCAUUUCUAACAUCAGAUGAACUAGCAUGUGCUCAUGCCUUGAACCCAUAAACUCUUCCCUCGCGAGAGAUCCUAUGGUUCCGGGAUUCCUAAAGCGAUUCAAAGUUCCUACAGGAUCUCAUCGGCAUUUGCAUGGGAUUUAAUUUUUCAUGGCUUAUUACAUAGAUCUUUCGUCAUCCUGGUGUUGAGAAUUGAUUCCAUAUUAUUGCCAGACGAAACUGAUUCUUUACGGUUUCAUCUGGUCACUGGCCGGGUAUAUUGCGCUAAUCUUCUCUCAUCAAUCCGUUACAUACCGUCCUGAAUCAAAUACACUUGCAUGAAUUAUUAUUUUUCGUCCCACGCCGGUGGCUCUUUCAUCACCGUGGUUGCUUGAAUUAUAGGCAUUGUGCAAGUAUGCCAGUGGGACCAAUCCCGUGACGGGAGUGAGCACAAGGAAAAGCCUCGGCUGCGGGAACAGCCGCCGCAACGCCUAUGGCAGCCCGUCGUCCCCCCUGCUGAGCGCGCCGCCUCCGAAGUUGCUCGACAGAGAUGGGUUCUGUGAUCAGAGCACUGGCCUCUGCGACGCCAGCUAACUCCCCAUGGCCCUGUACAUAACAAGCGUGAACAACACCUUCAUGAAUCAUGAUCGUGAAUCACUGCACUGCUCAGCUUCAAAGGGCAGCAAUUUAGACCGGGAAGGAAGGCCACACGUGCCCAGAGGACAUCAUAAAGCCAGCAUGUGGGAGAGGUGGUAUGAUGGGGGGAGGUGCUGAAGAUGGGGUGGGGGACCUCGCCGCCGAAUACGCUCAGGGCAUACAGAGGGGAGCCCCGGCAUCCCCGGCACGAGCGCGCGUUUCCUCCUCUUCUACGACAAUCUUCCUCCUCACAGCGAAUGGAGGAGCCGAUGGUCCCUGUCCACGGGCAUCCCCCCACCCAGCAUGAGGUCAAGCGGGUGGGUUAUAUAAAUCGGGUGGGAGCCUUCGAAUGGGGAGCCGCCUCUUGCGUUGGAUCGUCUUCUCCUCCUCGACAUUUCUCCUCUCAUUUCGCUGCCGGAUGCAACUUCCGUGACGAGUACCUGAACUGUUCCCUUGUGGAUUCCCUGGCAACUUCGCUAUUCUGGGCUGCCCAAACGAGCUUGGUAUGUACGUAUCCUCUUCUCGUGAACAUUGCUAUUCUCAGCUACCUCACCGUUUCCAACGUUCCCACCGUAGGCUAAUCUAGUAAUUUGAGCGACUCAUGAUAAGUCAAAAAAGUUUCCUCUUUUCUCUACCCAAGUAAACAAGGCGCAUCAGGGUUUUAGUUCGAAAUCAAUUGACUUAGAUUCAGAUGUUUGACACAACCUUUCAUUCAUCUAAGUUUCUCUCCUUCCUCUUGGGACCCGAGAAGGAAGAAGGCGUCUUGCUUUUUUGAUAGCAAUUAGGAUGAAAGUCAACGACGCCUUUCAUCAUACAUUUCAUGGCAUGCUCAGAGCUUACCCACUGUAAGGCUGAGAUGGGUAACCGCCAGCAAUAUUUCCUUCUGUCGGGAAAACUUAUAAGUGCCUCGGCAACCGUGUGAACUUAUAAGUGUCUACCUACUGCGAGUUCAGAACCAAGGUAUGGCUUGCUAUCCUUCAUUCCAUAACUCGAUCGAUCACAUUUCAAUAUAAUUUCCUUGUUAAAUAUAAAAAAUGUUACAACAUUCGAUUAGCUUAUGCUAAUCAGUAGUGGCCACGACUGAAAUGCCUGAAACGAUUUGUUUCAGCACAUCAGAGCCAUUCUUACGCAAACCAUUUCACAACAGAAAAACAGCAAGAACUAGCUGUCUUCACUGGUGGCUGGAUGAUAAUAAGCCUCCACCACGGCAUAUUCUACGGUCCUCAAUCCAAUGGCGGAGUAGUCGGUUUCCCAAACGCUUAGCUAAGAAACCCCUUGACAAUGUUACUUAUAAUCCCUUCUCCUUCUUUUGCUUAACGACUGGGGAUACGCUAAUUAAAUAACAGUAACACGGACCACAAGUGCCCCUCCAAUCGGGGCAGUAGGUUAUUACAUAUGAACAACACCGCACUGUCCGUCUUUCAAUUCCAUAGACCAGCCUGGCUAUUGGAGCUCGACGUUGAUCCAUGAUCUGCGAUGGGCUCUUUCUUCUCAGGAACCUGAAUUAUGAUGUCCGCAUCAGGAUAAUGGUCUCCCUCAGAAGUAUCGCCAUGACUAAGCUGCGAAGCGACGAACUUGUCGAGGACCCGCCAAUCCGUGAUCUGCUCCGAUGCUUGCUGUGCGGUACUUCCAUAGUUGUACGUUGAGAUCAUCUGUUGUUGAAUGCAAGCUUGUAUUUGGGCCUCAUGAGCCGGUGAAGAGUUCCGGAGGAAACUCACUCCGGUGGCAUAGAUGCCGGCUGUGAGCGUUGAGCUCUCCAGCCGGGGGAGGCGGAUGUGGUGUUCACUGGGCAUAUGGUUGCGCAACUCUAGCUCUCGUUUGCAGGAGUGUAGUAUGUCGCGGAGGAAGGGGACGUCGGGGGGCCGGCUGUUCAUCCUCAUCGGAGGAUCGAACUCGGGGAUGAAGGAGGGUUGAGAAUCGUACGCGUAAGGCUGUUCAUGGUCUUCGGUUCUCUGUGCCGGCGACACCCGUUUCUUGAAUACUCUGCACACCACCCAGCCCUCCUCCUGCAACAUCAGAAACUAUUACGUCCAUACGGUGACUGUCGUGAGCUCUUUCCCUCUAAGGGAAAUUAGAAUUAGCCCACACGCCGGAUGGUUUCAGGGAGUAGGACUCAGAUCAUCAUCAACACUACAUUCCGUGUAAACGUGAAAACAUGAAGGUCAUGAUGGGACAUGACAUAUAAUCAAUAAAUUUUGACUACUGGAUAAAUAAUAUCCACAAUAAUUUCUUUCUUGGUGUAUUUUUCGUUGACUUUGUCCGAGGUAACCCACGACCAAGCAAAAUUAUACGGUUACCAAUUCCUAUCCUUCAAGUAGUGUAUGCACAUUAUGGUAGAUAUCUGUGGCUUCACACAUGCUCCUAGAGCAAAAACAGUAAGCCUAUCCGUAGAAGUAAUGGUCCAAUACAGAACAUCAUCAAAUAAUAAAAAAAUGCAUAGAAUUGGUGAAGAUUAUAUGUUCCUUAUUUGUGAAUUACAUAGUGCAUUAUCUUUCGGCAUUUGCCGAAUCGGGACGUUUUUGCGGUUUAGGAUUCGUCAGAAAAGCGAGAGGUUUGUGAAAUGCUUCCGGUGCCCGAAAUAGUAUAAGCCGUGGAGGACUUGAAAGGCGGAAAAUACGGGUUAAUCCGAGUGAGCAUGGAAAGAGAGUUAAGAGGUUGGGGAAAAGCGUCUUUUAGUAUUCCGAUAUUUAUGAAGGCACUUACCAGGGGAGAGGCGUUUUCAUUCGUUUCAAGGCGAUACUCAUGCAUAAUCCAGUCUGACUUCUGUCCGUUCGGAGCUCGGCCCUGGUAGAAAACCAACGUCUUUCUCAUCCCAAUCAGACUGUGCCUCGUGUAUACGGGCUUGUCCCUACCAGUCGCCUUCCAGAACCCUGCUGUUGUUGCUCUAUUAGUGCGAGUGCCUGUCGGAUAUUUCUUAUCUUUAUGGCUAAAGAAAUACCAUUCGUUCUGUUCUUCCGCUCCAAUGCGACACUUCUCUGCGGGGAAGAUCAAGAUAUCAGGCACAAGCUCACAAAUCUUGUAAGAAUAAACUUCGUGUAUUCGUAUUUCCGGCAAUAAUAUGAUACAUUAUGGGUUAGUACCUUGAAGAUCCCACGGUUCGAUUCUAUAUAGGUCGACUUCUUUUAUAACAUCCAAAUCAAUCUCCCUGGAAGCGACCUUCUUUCUGAGGUAAUAGUCAACAAGUUCUUCGUCUGUUGGGUGGAAACGGAAACCAGGUGGUACGUGCGAAAAGUUGUUCAUGUUUCCUACAGAAACUCGGGCUUGAAAGUCACAAGUAGAUGUUAGAUAUCUUAAUAUUCGUUGGCCGUAGUUUCCAGGACGAAAUGUUAUGCAUAUAAAUGACAAAUAUUCUCACUCCUGACAAUUUUUAUACUCCACAGAAUGAAAACUCAAAAAGAUUCAUCCUGCCAGCUAUCAUGAUGAUUCUGAUAAUUUAGUCAAUAGAUGGAAGUAAACUGUUUGCAUUAACAAUAAUUUGGGUUAAAACUUGCAUUAGUUAUAGAAAUUAAUAAUCAUAAAAUAAUAAUGUUUUUAUAUAAUUAAUAGGCUUAUUUUUUCACAACAAUAUUUCAAAACAAAGAAGAUAAUCGCAAUUGCAAAAGCAUAUUAGAAACAAGAACGAUAAUGAAACUACCAUGACUAUUGUUAGCAGCAACACAUACACCGAUUUCAUUCAACGGCUGGUGUUUAGUUGGGAGGAUAGAAGGAACAGUGUGGACCAACAAGAAUAUGUGGUUUACAUAUUUUUCAAGUUUACAUGCCAUCAUAAAAUAUUCACUUGAAGACUUCUGAGAUUUCAAUCCAAGGUCGUGAUUAUUCACCAUGGGGUGCUGAGAUUACGGAGCAGGUACCACUUUGAAUAAAACCUUGUGUAGUUUCCCAUUAGGUGCAAGACUUGAUAAGUAAUAACAAACUUUAUGACUUUUUACAAUUAGCUUUCCCAUUUGAAUACCCGUCGACGGGAUAUUGUACACAGCAAAGAAAACAUUUUAUUCAAAGGGGGACAUACAUAGACACGACAUAAUUACGUUUUUCGUGUUAGUUCUCAAUGGUUAAACUUAGGAGAACAAAUGUAUUGAAAGACGUGCUUAUGAAUUUAAGUGAUUCAGAAGAAUAUCAAUGCUAUUUGAUGGAUUGAUGAAACUGUUCUUAAUACACAUGUUUGUAGAUAGUUUUCAGAAAGAACAUUUAGUAUUUCUUAUAUUUUCUUGAAUUCCAAUUAUUUCUCUUAUUUUUUUUCUUUAUAACCUAGAGUUAUUUCCCCCCACCUCUAAUUUAUGAUUUAAUUUCAGUCUUGUCUUCUUCUCUUUACAUUUUCAUUUAUAUAUUUCUCUUGUCAUGAAACUUGCCACUAUUGGGAAUUCCUGUAGUUGUCAUAGAGUAACAUCUCCUAUGGGACUUUAGAAAUCAAUGAAAGAAAGCUUGACAAAAUGAUUUGGGGUAUUCGAUGAAGGCUCAGAUGUCAUUGUAUUGUAUAAAGUCUAAAGUUCCAAAAUGUUCACGGGUUUGUCUCAUAAAAUAUAAACUGAUUAUCAUCAACCUCCUUUAAGGAUAGACCCGGACUUUCUAGCUUUCACACCAAGAAAAAGGCGCUACUGUGGGGAAGAAGAGAGGGGAGUUAAUGCUGGAACGUAGAGCUUGUAGGGUUUGAUUUCAGGUGGCUGUCUCAUCGCUAAUACAGAUAGAGGCACCCCCCUAAGAAUCAACUGAUCUUAUCCAUUGCGUUCCUGUAUCGUAGUUAAUGCAAGCUAUCAGCUGUUCCCUGACAUGCUCUGCGUCGGCGAACCGAGCGACGGGAACUCCAUUGUUAAGCCAUAUAUUGUGCAGCAUUGAUGCGGCUGAAGAAUCGCUCAUAUGAUCAUCCUCCACAUAGGUAUACAAAUGAAUGAGAAAAUCCAACUGAUCCUAAGCCCAAAAUUCUAACGGGAUAAUCCAAAACCUCAAAUAUAUGGUCCGUAUGCCCUACCUCAACGGUUGAUUAAUGUCCUAAAGGAGCCAGUACAACAGCCGAGUUGAUAAUGGCCUUCCUUAUGAUUAAAGGCUAAAGUGGUUGAAUAAUAACAACGGAAGUAACGAUUUGAGAUGAACUAAAUGUUCCCGGAAUGCCUUAGAGAUUUGACUUUCCCGACCCAUGUCAUCUUCCGAGAGAUGAGGAGGUCCGACGAUAGAAUAUCGGAAGGUUGUCCAGGAUGCAUUGUUAUGAAGGAAGAUCUUCUCCCCUGAAGAAUUUUUCGAAUCAGGAUUUCCUAAGGAAUAGGAAGAUCUACCCUUGGAGAAGAAGGUGAGGAAGGGUGUGGUAAAGAAGAUAAGGAGAUUUCUCGAGUUCUUAAGGUGACUUUUGAGAGCUGCAAUGCUUGCCCACCGAAACUUGAUCGAACGUACAACUUUCGUGUCUACGUUCGAUCAAAAGAUGAGAAAGGAAGGUAGGGAGGGUGAGAGGGAGGGGGAGGGAGGGGAGAGAGAGAGAGAGAGAGAGAGAGAGAGAGAGAGAGAGAGAGGUAGAGAGAGAGCUCACAAUUGAAGAAUCCUCGCAGAAGCUUCGAUACUGCAGUCCUUUCCUCACAGAGAUGCUCGAAUAAUGUGACCCUUCCUAAGAGAAAGAUCUAUCCUUCUUGUCCAUCCCCAGCCGGCGAGGAAGAAGGCGAUGGGCAAACUAAGUUGGACGACGAAGGAAAGUGCUAGACCUCGGGAAUUGAAACUCCUCUCCCACAACCCUAACUCACUUUUGCAGCGUCUAGGAAAGGAUGGAUAUGAUCCCGAGGAGGAAGCACGAGUCAGAGAGCAGGGAGCCGAGAGGAAAUACAGGUAAAGAUCCGCGACAGGGUUGCUGUUAUAUUGCCGCCGCACAAUAUCCUCUCUCUCUCGCUCUCUCUCUCGCUCUCUCUCUCUCUCUCUCUCUGUUGUUUAUGUCUUCAUCACUCAGAGUUGACAGUCGGCGGUUGGUUGGAUUGCGGGGAAAGCCAGGACUUUGGCGGGGAAGACGGCGGAAGCGAGAUGGUCCCUCCCCCUCCAAAGGCACUCUCUCUCCUCCUCCUCCCGGGGAUUACGGCCGCAACCACCGCCCGCCGAUGAUAGUGACGUAAAUGGGAUUGUGAACACGGUCGAUCUCCUCUAGGGAGGGGAAUACGUUGGAGAAGAGUGAGAGACGAGCCAGAGCAACCAAGGAGUGACGCAAUCCUUGAAGAGCCAACGUCAACGCGGAAACUUCUCUCUCUCGUUCUCACAUAUACUCCCUACGUGGAACCUUGACAAGAGUCCGCCAUCUUUCUUUCCUUCUUUGCUCCUCUGGCUGGUAACCCUAGAUGGACCAAGUCUUCAUUCUCUGCUCCAUCACCACCUCUCCGAAGAAGGGGAAAUCCUUUACGGCUCUCCGAUUUAUCUCAUGAACUAUGGAUUAUCUCAUGAAGAGGAAGGCAAGAUCAAUAUACAAAUCGAUUUGUCUACAUCACGAAGGGCUCUCUUUUAAUGAGCAUGAUAAAUGCAAGAAGAAUGGUGUAUAUGCUGAUGGAAGCCAGGACAAAUCGCCACCCCUUAAGCCUGAGCCGAGCAACGGCCACCGCCGGCGGUGAAUGUUGUGCAGUAGGGUUCGCAGGCAUGGGCUUCGCUUUAUCAUUAGGUCCGCUUACUUGGACGGCGCCUCCGCCUGGUAAUUGAGCUCCACAAAGGUGGCCCAUCAAUCCAGACAUCAAACCCACAUCCUCCACGCUCAAUGGACGCGCAGCUGCAGGUCGACACGUGUACAAAACUCCUCCGAGCGUGCUCUCGGGGCGUGGACGGCGGCCCCAGCGUAGGUAGGGAGUUGAAAGCGGCUGGCCGGUGGGUGCCGCCAUCGACCUUUUCCUUUCCUACCUCAUUAUCCGCUCUCAGUGCCGCCGGCAUCCUUACUACCGUGCUCGAUCAAGACUCGGGAAUCUAAGUGGAUUAUUUGUCCCUAACAUACAUGUUUAUCAAUUGAUAUACUGUGGUCUCGUGCACGGUCGACAGUCAUCCCGGCAUCAUUCACAUUCCGCCGUAAGUUCGAUAGUUCCACUCUCGGGUUUCCCAAUCGCCUUCUUCCGGAUGAAGGAACGCCAAGAGCAGUGCAAAUUCAACAAGCCCAUUUCCCCACUUACAGUCUGAAGGAAGUCAUUCCCGCAGGAACCCGAACGCAAAGGGUUGAAGAACCGAAAACAUUGUUCGGGCUUUCUCGUGAAAGGAAUGAAGGCCGAGAGGGGGGAGGGGGUUCACAGCUCGCAUGGAGCCCGGAACAUAAUCAUCACGGAGGCAUGGCCAUCAAUGAGGCCCGCCCAGACCCCGAUGGCCUACCCCACCGUCUUUGGCCGUGGGGGUUGGCGUGGGAUAGCUAAAUAUUGCAGCGUGAAGGCGGCGGCGGCGACGAUGCCCCUGGGUUAUCGGAAGUGAGCUGUAACCCUUUCAGAAUCUAAGCGUCUCCGAACAUACACCACCCACAGGCAUCACUGUGCGGGCACGCUACUUAACCGGGAGCCACCAUCCAAAUCCCCGAUGUGCCGUUGACGGAUCUCACCUGAUUUGCCGGUCUUCUUAUUUUGUCCUCCGGGGCCAUGGAUGUUCUACAUGGCGAGAUCUCUAGUGGGAACGAGGAAGAGGGACAAGAAGAAAGAAGAAAAGAGAGUGACAAAACAAAGACAACCAGAGCUGAGAGAGGCGCCGGGGGGGGUUAGGUGGAAGGGAGGAGGGAGAGAGAGAGAGAGAGAGAGAGAGAGAGAGUGGUAGGAGAGAGGAGGAGGGGGGNNNNNNNNNNNNNNNNNNNNNNNNNNNNNNNNNNNNNNNNNNNNNNNNNNNNNNNNNNNNNNNNNNNNNNNNNNNNNNNNNNNNNNNNNNNNNNNNNNNNNNNNNNNNNNNNNNNNNNNNNNNNNNNNNNNNNNNNNNNNNNNNNNNNNNNNNNNNNNNNNNNNNNNNNNNNNNNNNNNNNNNNNNNNNNNNNNNNNNNNNNNNNNNNNNNNNNNNNNNNNNNNNNNNNNNNNNNNNNNNNNNNNNNNNNNNNNNNNNNNNNNNNNNNNNNNNNNNNNNNNNNNNNNNNNNNNNNNNNNNNNNNNNNNNNNNNNNNNNNNNNNNNNNNNNNNNNNNNNNNNNNNNNNNNNNNNNNNNNNNNNNNNNNNNNNNNNNNNNNNNNNNNNNNNNNNNNNNNNNNNNNNNNNNNNNNNNNNNNNNNNNNNNNNNNNNNNNNNNNNNNNNNNNNNNNNNNNNNNNNNNNNNNNNNNNNNNNNNNNNNNNNNNNNNNNNNNNNNNNNNNNNNNNNNNNNNNNNNNNNNNNNNNNNNNNNNNNNNNNNNNNNNNNNNNNNNNNNNNNNNNNNNNNNNNNNNNNNNNNNNNNNNNNNNNNNNNNNNNNNNNNNNNNNNNNNNNNNNNNNNNNNNNNNNNNNNNNNNNNNNNNNNNNNNNNNNNNNNNNNNNNNNNNNNNNNNNNNNNNNNNNNNNNNNNNNNNNNNNNNNNNNNNNNNNNNNNNNNNNNNNNNNNNNNNNNNNNNNNNNNNNNNNNNNNNNNNNNNNNNNNNNNNNNNNNNNNNNNNNNNNNNNNNNNNNNNNNNNNNNNNNNNNNNNNNNNNNNNNNNNNNNNNNNNNNNNNNNNNNNNNNNNNNNNNNNNNNNNNNNNNNNNNNNNNNNNNNNNNNNNNNNNNNNNNNNNNNNNNNNNNNNNNNNNNNNNNNNNNNNNNNNNNNNNNNNNNNNNNNNNNNNNNNNNNNNNNNNNNNNNNNNNNNNNNNNNNNNNNNNNNNNNNNNNNNNNNNNNNNNNNNNNNNNNNNNNNNNNNNNNNNNNNNNNNNNNNNNNNNNNNNNNNNNNNNNNNNNNNNNNNNNNNNNNNNNNNNNNNNNNNNNNNNNNNNNNNNNNNNNNNNNNNNNNNNNNNNNNNNNNNNNNNNNNNNNNNNNNNNNNNNNNNNNNNNNNNNNNNNNNNNNNNNNNNNNNNNNNNNNNNNNNNNNNNNNNNNNNNNNNNNNNNNNNNNNNNNNNNNNNNNNNNNNNNNNNNNNNNNNNNNNNNNNNNNNNNNNNNNNNNNNNNNNNNNNNNNNNNNNNNNNNNNNNNNNNNNNNNNNNNNNNNNNNNNNNNNNNNNNNNNNNNNNNNNNNNNNNNNNNNNNNNNNNNNNNNNNNNNNNNNNNNNNNNNNNNNNNNNNNNNNNNNNNNNNNNNNNNNNNNNNNNNNNNNNNNNNNNNNNNNNNNNNNNNNNNNNNNNNNNNNNNNNNNNNNNNNNAGAGAGAGAGAGAGAGAGCACGCUGAGAUUCCCUUAGAUUUUUUCUGAAAUCACUCUUUGUUGGGAAAUAAUUGUAAUGAAUGUAGGAAGUUUGGUCUCGGAUAACUGCGUGAUUGAUCUACUGAGAUUCUACAAGUACGAUUCUGAGCCACGCCGCUGACCGCCGCGAUUCUGUCGGAGUCGACGGCGGAAUACGACCCAGCAUCUGCUUCCCAGCCUACGACGGUUCGCCCCCCGACGAAAGGCUGAGAUUCUCUCGCGGGGGGUUUUCUUGACCCCGCGACGCCUACGCCGGCAUUGAACACGCGAAACGUCGGUGCACCGACGGGGGGGAAUGGUCGUUGAGGCGGUCAACUCACUGGUUUUAUUUAACCAGCCGUUCAGUUUUCCCCGGUGAAUCGGUCAGCAAACGCGGUUCGUGACCAGUUCGGUGCACGUGGCUGCUGGCUGAAGAUUGCGACGACCGCUACGCCAGCGAUCGUCCGAGCCCUGGAGGAUUCCAGUUUUGGACGCCACUGGUCCACUCGUUCCAUUCUGGAGAGGCUCCAAGACGUCACUAGGACGACUCCGUGCGAUGAAGAAGGUACGGGGUAGGAGCGCUCCGAGAACGAAGCUUCCAUGGUAUCGUCCGGCCCGUACGGUACUCUCCCUCGACCCAUCCGCCCAAAACUCUCUGUGUCUCCCGCUUUAUAUACAGCCUGUUCCAUUCUCUCACUCGAUUGUCUGGCCUCCACCGUACCUCUCUUCGCGGUCAGUUCAGUCCCCGAACUGCGGUAGCGUGCUUGAAUCUUCUUCUUCUUCUUCUUCUUCUUGUUCUUUUAUUUUUGUGCGACUUCCGUCAGUUUUCUGUGGGCUUGGAGCGAGAGGGAGAGCCGGUAUCCCUCCCCCUCAUACCGAACGGUCAAUCUGGAGCAGUAGCAGGAGCCCAGUUUCCGGCAGGGAACAAGAUCACCGCAGAGAGGAGGUGGGGAAGACGGAAGGCACAGGAAGUGAGGUUCGGCCAGAGGAAACGGAGGGUGCGCGGGCUUUCUCCCGGAAUGGGGAGAGGAUGACAAGCGAGGAAAGCCUGGGCGGCGUUGUCGGGAAUAUUAGGGCCUUUGCCGGAGUUCGGAAUGGCCUCUUCCGUGUAGCCGAGUCCAUCGCCGAUACACGUCUUUUCUCCUCCUAACUCAUUUCUCCCCAUAAAUUCCCUGCGUCUGUCCUCUUAUCUCCGUCUUCGGGGGUCUCGGGAUGGGCUGGAGGUUGAUCCGCGUCUGCAGAUGGGUACGCCGGCGGGAGCCCAGGCUCAAGGCCUACCUCCGCCUUAAUCCAGUGGCCUCUCCAUCAUCCUCUCCUUCUUCUUACCCCUCGCGCCAGCGAGAAAUCGGAGGGAGGAUGACCCUAAUGGGAGCUAAGAUUGGUUCCUGGUAUCGCUGCCUCGCCAGACGCCUCGGGCCACUCUCUUUCCAAUUGCGGGGAGCGGAGAGGAGCUACCACCGCGUUCCAGGGUUUCGCCGCUUCAUCUCAUCUCAGCGGCAGAACAGACGACGUUCCCUUCUCCACAAUUCGGAGCAUCAACAUCAUCAACAACAGCAAAGGAAGGUUCCGCCGAAGGGCCACAUGCCGGUGUACGUUGGUGGGAAGGACUCCGACCCGCCGCGCCGGGUUCUGGUGCCGGUGAUCUUCUUCAACCACCCGCUGUUCGUAGAUCUGCUGCGGAGGGCUGAGGAGGAGUUCGGCUUCCACCACCAAGGGGGGAUCACCAUACCUUGUCCCAGCUCCGACUUCGAGAGCGUCUGGACUCGCGUCGCCGCCGCCGCCGACAGCCGCCUUCUCACCAGUAGCCCCCAAGGGCUCCGCCGAUGGGCUCUGCCCCGAAUCGACGCCGGCAGCCGCAGGGGGGCACCUGUGGUGUAGCAGAGAGAUAAUGACGACUAAAAUAGAUACUGUAUACGUUCUUGAUCAUUUUCAUAUCCAUUUGCUGCUAAAACGCAAAUUAUUCAAGUACUAAUAUAGUACAAGCCUCAUGGCAUUGCGACCUCUGUCAUUAGGGAUCUUAAUUAGCAGGGCCAGCCUGACAUCUCUCUGGAUCCAAACACUCGGAUCAUCGCUGAGAACAGAAGCUUCGGGGAAGCAUGGCUAUGGCGGACCCAACCAUGCAGCCGGAGAUACGAUAGAAGCGUAGCUCCUUUCUAUUGAUUAUGGCUUAUACAGAAACAGACGUAGGGUGAGCUCGUCACCACGAGCUGUAUCUCCCGCCUGAUAAUGCCGGAGAUCCCUUGAAGUAGCUCCCACAGGCGCCCCUGCAAGCCUCCUCCAUGGCCGGCGUCGAGACUCCUCCGUUGCAGAUGUUCGCAAACGCUCGCAUGUACUUCAUCCCGUACUGAGUAAGCGGUCCGCAGUGGGACUCGAACACGAGAACCUGAAAGAAGACGAGAAUUUAUUUAUCUAGGGUUUCUCCUCUCGAUCCGAUUCCUCGUGGAGAGAAGCAUCGCGCUCACCAUAUUUUUCAGGCACGCCCAGUCGUCGACUAGGGCCAGGCCAGGUGCUCUCACCGCGGUGAGGAUCGAGGGGCCUCUAUCUGAGCCGAAGAGGAGCUUCCCGACGAGCUCGACGCUGCUGUCGAGGUGAACCCUGUGUGUCAUCUUCGCUGCGAUUUCUCUCAGAACCUCCGCCUUCUGCUCCGACCUCUCUCCGAGCUGCUUGUACUGGUGAUCGAUGGGGAAGAAACCAUUAGCAGGGUCGGGGAGACGAUCGGGCGGCGCCGUUGCAGGGGGUCCUCACCCAGUGCCACAAGAAGAGGAGGUCGGCGUCCCUCUGGUUGACGGCCUCCAGGCGGCGGUAGCCCCGGAGCAUGUUGUUGGUGAGGUUCGCAGUGGCGGGGUCGAAUCCCUGGAAGCGAUAGAGCUUCUCGGCCUUCAUACCUUUGCUACCGUAUUCCAUGACAUGGGAACCGGGGCUGUAGGUGUUGUAGUUGGACGUCCUCGUCUUCACCUGCAGCCGCGGUAGUCAAAGGGAGCAGAUGAAGGGGACAGAGAUCCAAAGAGCUGGUUCCACCAUUGGGGCCGAUCAGGAGGGUUCCGGCGAAAAUACCCUUUCAUACUGCUUCUGGAUGGUCUCUAGCUUCAGGUUGUGAGCUUCGCUGUCGAGUAGCAAGGAGUUAGGGGGAGGAGGAUGAGGAGGACGACGACAAGGGGCAAUGGAGGAACCUGUCUUCCAUCCAGGAGACGCUGUAGAGGUCGCCGAGGCAGGUGAUGAACUCUGGCGGUGGCGGCGGGUCCAUUCCGGGGCAGUAGGUCCCCCAGCUGCUCUCCUCAGCGUUGGAGGCCGUCGUCACGUAGAUGUUCAGGUCCUCCGGCAUCAUCCCUUCGAAUAUGCUCCCGCUCUCACAUGCCUCCACAUACACCACCUGGACCACCGCCUCCCCGUCAGACGAGAACGAAGAAGAAAGACUGGAGAAGACGAGGAGCCCACCAUCUCCCCGUAGCCGCCCAUGGCGUGCUUCCGCUUCAGCACCUCUAUUAGCUCGGCGGCGUAGAGGAAAGGCAUGUUGGGCAUCCCUGCAAAUCCGAGCAGGGACCCCGAAUUAUUGGACAAUCGAACGAAAUAGGAUGGGAUUCCUCGGAGUAGAGGGCGCCGGGGCUUCUCACCGAGAACUCCCGGUCCUCCAUGGUCGGAGUAAUAGAGGAAGAUGCGGUCAUUGGGCUUGCUGUCGACGACCUUCCCGCUUCCCCCUUCCACGGCGCUCCUGUUGCCCAGAAGGACUGCGUACAGGUUCUUGGUAUUGACCUGCUCUCCCGUGUAAUCCUGCCAUCAACAUGGAGCUUGUGAACUAUGAGGAAUGAGGAAUAAAUCCUCGCCGUUUCUAGGAUUAUGAUUAAUUUCCGCGGCGCAGGGCAGGGAGGGACAUACCUUGGGGACGCCGGCGUAGACGUCCUCCCCCUGAGGGUGGUUGAUGAUGAUCCCCGGCCUAGGGUUUAGAGGGUUGUGGGCGAUGUCGUCGUACAUGAACACCACGAUGUUCUCUUCCUUCAGCCCACCUCUCCUCAGGAUCUGGUACGCGUGGCACACGUCCGCCUGCCGCGUCAUUACGCCGCCACACGGCGGCGGCGCCACCACCACCGCCACAGCCGGAUUAUAAGCUUGAGAGAAUGACACGGACAGAAAGGAUCGCAUCGAAGGAGCGCACGGGAGAUUGAUUGGCCGUAUCUAUCUCCGUACCUGGUGCCGGUAGUUGCCGUAGCCAGAGGACCCGGCGACGAGGACCGCCCACCUCGUCCCCGUCACGUCCUCCUCGGACUGGCCCUCCGCCGUCUCCUCUGUCGGCAUGCGGAUCUCCGGGGCCCAGCCAUGGAGCCCUCUGGCCGAGGCUGCCGGCAGGAUCAGGACCGGCAGGAGGAAGAGCAGAAAGGGGGAGCGAUGCAUCGCGAGGGGGAGGAAGGACAGCUUGCAGGGACCAGGAGAAAAAUGGCGAGGAUGGGAAGGGGGAGAAUGGCGGAUGGGGAGGUCAGGACCUCGCCGCCGCGCCGAGACAGGAGGCCAUGCAGGAGCGCCCCGCGCUGAGGUCGACACGUAUGAAGGAGCGACUGGUCAAAAAAUAUAUAUUUAUUGAAGGGGGAAACUAUGCUUCAAAAUAUGCUGGAGUAGCUCAGUUGGUUAGAGCGUGUGGCUGUUAACCACAAGGUCGAAGGUUCAAGCCCUUCCUCUAGCGGACAGUUGGAUUAUUUUUUGCACCCAAUCCCUCCAAACUUGCAUGGUUUUGUCGUUCGUUCUGGAAAAACCAGAGGUUCCCGUGGUUCAGAAGAUUCGUCCGAUCUACUGAACGCUUCCGUCAGAUCUUCGCUGCCGUGCGGCGGCCGUCGCGACUCCGACGAUCUAUCUGUCUGUCCCCUUUUUCAGACAAUUCCCGCCAUCUGGCCGUCGUCUUCGAGAUCGUCACGGAGAAAGCCACCUGCGGGAGACCAGACGGCGCCCGAGCUCGCGACUCCCUCGCCGACGGGCGUGGGGGGUCAUGUUGGUGCCCCCGCGCAGAAGAAGAACACACGUUUGCUGGUGGCGCUGCCACUCGGCCCUGCGCCUCCAACAGGUGGAGACCUCUUCCGCUCUCCUCCUUCCACCUCACGCUUCUUCUCUGCGUUUAAAAGCCGAGACCGAGGAUCUCCCGCGGCCACACGAGAUGAACGUUCCCGGAGAUGGACGUCCCACGACGGGCCCUCGCCAUGCUGCAGUUCGCGCUCUUGUCCGUGUCCCUACACGCGGCGGGCGCCAGCGCUACCACCGCCGCCACCUCGCCACCGGCUGACCAGGUCCGCGCGGCGAGUGCCGGGCUCGCCCUCGCGGGAGCUUAUUUCGGCUCCAUCGCGAGCCCCGACGACGGCGGGGGAGAGCGUGAAGCCGCCGCGUGGCGCGACUGCGCGCGGCUCUACGAGGACAGCGGCAGCCGGCUUCGCCUCCUGGCGGCCGGGGGAGGGCGGAGCAUCGCCGACGCCCGCACGUGGCUCAGCGGCGCGGUCACCUCCCAUCGGACCUGCAUGGACGGGCUGCGCGAGCAGGGACUGCCGCCGCCGCCGGUGCAGCUGGCCGAGAACUUGACGCGCCUUCUCACUACCGCCUUGAGGGCGUACCACGAGAAAGACGACAGUGGUGAGUUUCAAAGGAAGAAGAAGAUUGCGCGUUCUAACCAAACUUUUCCAUGGAAAAGAUCUAAUGGUCAACUCUUCUUCUCGAGGAGGAACACCCGACGUGACCCAAGCGCAUGAUAAAAACUCGACGAUCUUCGAUGGAUUGUUGACGGCGUGGGAUCCGUCAGGUUGGAAGGCCGAUAUUGUCGUCGCGAAGGACGGGUCAGGUGGGUUCCAGACGAUCAAGGACGCCCUGGCGGCUCUCUCUCGCUGGAGACGACGAUCAAACCAGAGAACGGUGAUCUACGUGAAGGCGGGCGUCUACGCAGAGAACGUGGAGGUAGGCAGAACCCUAAAGAACGUGAUGAUCGUCGGAGAUGGGAUCGACAAGACUACAGUCACCGGCAGCCGGAGCGUUCCCGAUGGGUACACCACCUACAGCUCGUCCACCUUCGGUAAGAAAGAGGAGGCCUUUCCCCGGCUGGAUCUAGUGAGAACGGAGAAACAUCCAGUAAUGGCGAGUGGGUCUACCUCUUUCGCCGCGCAGGCGUCUCCGGCGAUGGGUUCUGGGCCAGAGACAUAACAUUCGAAAACACCGCCGGGCCUGGGAAGCACCAGGCGGUGGCGCUGCGCGCGUCGUCGGAUCUCGCCGUCUUCUACCGUUGCAGCUUCCGGGGCUACCAGGACACCCUCUUCGCGCACUCCCAGCGGCAGUUCUACCGCGACUGCGACAUCCACGGCACCGUGGACUUCAUCUUCGGCAACGCCGCCGCCGUCCUUCAGAACUGCAACAUCUACGUGAGGAGGCCCCUGGGGCACCAGUCCAACAUGAUCACGGCGCAGGGAAGGGGCUCCCCCUACGAGGCCACCGGCACCUCCGUCCACAGGUCCCGCGUGCUGCCGGCGCCGGACUUCCAGGGGGUGAAGCAGUCCUUCACCAGCUUCCUGGGCAGGCCAUGGCAGAAGUACUCGCGGGCGGUCUUCAUGGAGACGGAGCUCGACGGGCUGGUCAGCCCCAAGGGGUGGGCGGAGUGGAGCGGCGACUUCGCUCUCGACACCCUCUACUACGGCGAGUAUAUGAACACGGGUGACGGCGCCGCCACCGCCGGCAGGGUCAACUGGCGCGGGUUUCAUGUGCUGAAGGAGGCCGGUGAGGCCAGUCCCUUCACCGUCAGCAGCUUCAUUCAAGGGGAAGCGUGGAUCCCAUCCUCCGGGGUGCCCUUCUGGGGUGGACUGUAGACUCAUCGAUAUUACGAAGCAAGCUAUAAAAAUGUCGCAUUCCCUGCAAAAAUUUCUUCCCAGGAUUCUGUAAGUGAGCAUGGCCGACGUUCAAUCGGCUGUGAAAUGAUCCCAACCAUGGGGAGUUUUUUAUUUUUUAUUUGUUAAGAGAAGGAUGAUGGCUGGCCUCAGGAUUUUGGAGGCCUUAAUGAUGCAGUUGACUUCUAAAAGUCAGCCUUGGCUCAACCAAAUCGCUUUGGGGUAUAGGCAUAAUAAAUCUGGUGCUGUAUGAGAAUUUGCGACGAUUUAUCUCCAAAUAAAUUGGCAACAAGGAUAACCUUUCAGGCCUAUGGCACGUGAGCAAAUGAAGAUUUUGGGAAAGAAUGCAAUCAUCUAAUUCAUUAAAUCAGAAAUAUAAUCUUGCUUCUGAAUAAUCUUCAAGCAGCGAGGUGAGAAGGCAGUGUUUAUGCACUCCAAAAAUGAUAUGAUUUCCUCUGCUUUUGCAAGGUUUUUACAGCGAAAAAUUGACAAGGUAACUCACUUUUCUAGCCAUGUCUGAUCAUUAAAGUGAAGUGAGAUGACCAACAACAGGCCUUCAAAACAUCAACAGCAGCCACUGAUUGCCGAAUGAGCGAGACUCUGGUGAAAGAUUAUAGAUGCGCAGCUGCCAGAUUGGCUGAUGAGCAGAUCCCCACAAACAACCGCCAAACGUUUUAGGAAACGAUGCUAUAACUUUCUCAGCAACCACCUUUCAGAAACUGAUAUCAGAGAUCACCAACAGCUGGAGGCUUGAUCAUGGCGGCCAUGGGAGAUUUUUCUCUCGUCAACAUCUCAAUGGUCUCGUUAUCCUGAGUGAUGGCAGCUUAUGCUGGUCAAGAACGGCCCAUGGACUUGCGCUAAGAGGGUGAAGAAACCAGAAACCAGAGUAAGCCGCAGAGUGCUAUGUCUCCCACUGAAGAAUUCGAAGCAGCUUUCUGUAUUCUCUUAAAAUCCAGAGGAACCCACGAGCGAGGAGUAAGAUGAAUUCUCAUCGGUGAAGGCAUUCUUUGCAGAGCUCUUGCUUGAUCCUCGGCUGAUGUUAGGAUGGGUUGAGAUGUCCACGCCAGCCAGCUUGCACAGCUGCAACCGCUGAUGCUUGGCUCCAUCCAGUUCCCCUUCCCAGCAGGUUUCAGUGAGAAUUUCCAGCGCUUCUGCCAAUUUAUCCUCUGCCAUUAGAUUGCCGUUUUGAAGCAGGACGAGGUACAGCUGAUCGGCUGCUGAUUUGCGAAUCUGUAAGGUACCAAAACAUGUGAGUGCCGGAUUCUUUUGGAGUUUAACCAUAUGAUUGAACACAAGCGUGUGACUGUUUCAGUUCUUGGAUAAAUUGAUCCGUAGAUAGGGUGGUGUAUAGCAUGUUUUCUUUUUCUAAAGAAAAUUCCAGAUAAGGCUACUGUUUGGGACAAUGUUUCCACUGAUGAUUAGUAAAAAUGUUACCUUUGGGUAACGGUGGGCAAGGAAUGAUAUAAGCUGAGAAAAUGAUUGAGAUUUUAUAGGUUCAGAAAGUGAAGCAACGUAUCCAAGAAUAGAAAGGCCAGUGAGUAGCUUAGAAAAGUCCUUGGUUCCCUUCAGUUCAACUACGAGUGAGUCCAUCAGGGCUACGAAAAAUGGCUGCAUGUCGACCUGUUUGUCAAGAGAAAUUAAGAAAUCGUCAGCUUAAGAAUGUCAUCAGAAAACAUGGAGAUCUUUGAAUCACUUCGGUAAAAGUUGCCCAUUCCUUCAAUCCAGAAAAAUAAUAGUGGAAAAAUAGAAGGGAAAGGAUGAACUGACCUCCAUGCCUAAGAAGACGUUUUUGCUGAGAAGAAUUUCAAUCGUCUGAAAAAUAAGAUAUCAUGCAUUAAAAAAUUUUAAUUUUAGGAAAAAUAGAAUGAGGCCGCAUUUAUAAGAUACUGAACAAACACCGAAUCCAUGGUGCAAAAGAAGAGAAUAAAGAAAAACAAGAAACAACUUGUCAGAAAUUAUCAUGCUUUCAUCUGCCUAAGAAACCAAUAAGAUUUUUCUUAAAAGUGCAACUUAAAAGUAAAGCAAGAUAUGAUUGUAUUUAUGCUCGGUUGAACUGUUUUAAUGGAAAGAAAAAACUUGGAACUUUCAAUUGCCAGAAUAACAAAGGAAACUCUUUCGUGUUCAACAAAGGGCUCCCAUCUGGAAACAGUUCACCAGAAGUAUCAAACCUCUGACACCCUCCGCUGAGAUAUUUUCAUUCUGAAAAGCUAACUUCAAUAACACUUCGUCGAAAAGCAGAAGCGAGACAAAUGAGAACGAUGCGGAAACAUAUAAAUCGAUGAAUGCAGUUCUUUCUAAGUAACGACCGUUAAUUUCGAUGCCAAAUUCGGACAAAGGUUUCUUGUCAGACACCCAAAACUAUGAGAUGCAAUUUGUCUAUCUAUUUAAUUAAAUCGCCAGAAGUUGAGCUCUCCACUCUUCCUAUCAUCCUGCCCUCACGUUCAUUGGAAUAAAUCUACCAAAAAAGUCCAUAUUUCCUCACUUGAAAAGCUUUUAUUAGGCUCAGCGGAAGUACCUUCAAUGUGGGUAUAAUAACUCUGUCACAUUUUUGAUAUUGCUCGAGGAUCCACCGCAGGUCAACACUAAGACCAUGCUCUUUGCCAUCGUUCGUAGUAUCUCUACUAGAGUCAGAUGCUUGAACAUAUCCCAGCAACGAUGAAGUCGCUGUUUUUCUUAAGGAAUCUUGCAAUCCACCAAUGGAAAUGACAAGUCCAGAAAGCACCGUUUUGCUAUAACAGGUAAACUGAAGCAGCUGGACAAAACGAGGAAAAGACAAUGCAGACACCUGAAUGAAAUAAAAGCGAUACAUUAGUUCAUGGAACGGUAAACAUAUUGAUCAUAUUUUCUGGUGUCAAUAAUGAUGGAACAAGAAACCUCAGAAGUUCUUGUUUGAGAAAAUGCCCCAAAUAUGCAUGUCAUUAGAAUUUACCAACGGAUCCAUUUCUCUAUCGUUUUUGCUCAAAAUCUCUAUUUGCUAAAUGUCAUGUACAUUUGAAUGAUAGAGUAUGAUUAGAAGCAGAACUCACACUAAUAUAAUACAAUAUAGAAUCUAGAUGUUUCCAAGAUGUGUGCAUGAUCAUACUGAUAAAAACUAUACGUAAGAUUUCUUCAUAGCACUAUUAUCGAAGCAUUUCACAAACUCAUGAAAUGAUAGUAUCACCAAAGGAUUUCUGCCACUGGUCGGGAGUAGAUAUUCCUAUUCUGAAAGAUAUAGCAGAAAUCAAACUUUUGAAAAGAAAUAUGAAUUAAGUGUGCAUAGGAUCCCUGAGACAUUCACUAAUGACUAAUAAACAAUCAACUUAUUUCCAGAAAGCAACUGCUACUUUAACUGUUAGAUUUUACAACAAUUAAACUCUAAUACCCCAAAAAGAUUGGCAAAGAAAUAUCAACUCCAUUCGUUGAUGGAGAAUUAGUCCAUCAAAAUUUGGCCAUAUAGGCCACAAUCAUACUAAUAUAGUGGACCAAUAGAAAGGAAAGCCUGCACACAAUAUGAUAAAAUACAGAUAUUAAACAUGUAACGAGGUUUCAUGAACAUUAUCGAAAAAGGGAAUAACUCGAGGAGUGUCAACAAGGUUAAAAUAAACUGACAGUUUCCGAGUACCUAAUAGCCAAUCCGAUUUGCAAACAGGGUCAUUUAUAUUAAGCCACGAUGUAAUUAUUUAACUAUCCUAAUUCUUCUUCGGUAUUCUUUUUUCCCCAUACGCCAGACUUUCAUCAGGACGAUGCCAUAAUCUUAGACUCCGCAAUAGUCAGCCCACGUUGGAACAUUUAGGUAAAUAAGAUGAUACUUUAAACUUAAAGUCAACUGUUAAGCCAUUAACUUACACCCCAUUGAAAGUCUGUUUCAUCAGGAAUGAGCCCUUCGAGUAUUUCUCUGUGAGGAAUGAAAGGAACAAAGUAAUUAUUAUUGUGUAGGAGUCUCUGAAGUCUUCUGGCAGCAGCAUCUCUUAUUUUAUCUAUUUUCUCUACAGCUUGCUUUGCGAUUCCUCCAACUAAACGCACAGCGAGCUCAGCAUCAAACAGCUGAGAUGUUUGAACUGUUCCAGAUAAUUCAACAUUAGGAAUGUCGGAUAAACAGUCCUCUCCUGAUGAUUUCAUAAGUCCCAAGGAAUCUCCCUUGCAGAGGAUGUAAGUGCAUCUUUCAAGGCCGUCCAUCGCAGCCUCACGCACCCAAGAGCCAACAUCACCCCUGUUAUCAACAGUGUAAUCAUCGAGAGCCAUGAAUAAUGUCUGCAUUACUUCGUUCUUGAUUGAGAAAUAUAGCUGUAAUUCUUCAUCAGCAUUGAAAGCGACAGAUUUUAUUUCACUGGUUAAUGUUUCACACACUGAUACAAGACCUAGAACUGAAUUAACUCGUGAUUCCACAUCACGAUCAUCAGGAUCAUCCUGCACAUAAAAUUAAAAAAUGAAGGCAUGCACAGAGUUAUGUGGGAUACAUCUAUGUACCCAAAUCUCAACAUUUUACAUAUUCAUAAGAACGAAGUACCUGAAUUUUGCAUGCACCACAAAGCUUUCCUAUCACAACUCUCCAACUUGUGACCAGAAGUUCAGCAGGCAUGACCCCAAGAGCCAGUGCUGCUCCCCUUCUUGCAGCGACAUUAGAAUCACCCAGUAAGGAUAGAUGCUUACACAUAAUAUCAGACGUAAUAUUGUCUCUUGUUGUAAGAAGGUAAGCAGGAACAAAGUGCUUUAACGCACUGACUGCAGAAUUCUGGACAUAGACCCAUUAUUUCAGUAACCAAGAAAAAAAGAUGUCACACAAUAGAAAAAUAUGCAAGACAAAAUCGAACACCUAGAGGACACCAGAACUGGCUAAUCAGAAAAGAACUGCAAAAAAGGCAAAUGCCCUGUGAAAACUAGACCUGUAUCUGAGAAUUAGGGUGCCUCAGAUUCUCAUUCAGAGUCUCAAGUAACGCCCCUUUAAGCUUGUUAGGCAAGAAUAUGCUUGCUAGGGAGAUACACUCAAUAAACCGUGAAACUGCAGAACGCAUCAUCUCUCCACCCUUUCCACGAUAUAGACGAGCUUUCUCAAUUGCAGGAACUAUUCCAGAUAUAGUCUUCUGUUUAUCUGCGUACAAAAGUACGGUUAUUUGAUAUUUAUAAUCGCAACAGUAUGAGAGUUAGAGUAAACUAAAUAUUUAUUUAGUCUCACAAGGCGACUUUUGGGAGGCUCCCAAUAAAAAAGGUAUAAAUCAUUCACAACGGAUACAUGGUCAUUUUCUCAGAUUUUAAAUUGCAAUAAUCUACAUCAGAUAUCAAAGAAAAAAUAAGAUGAAGUAUAUAAAUUCGGCUAUCGGACAAACAAUAUCAGAUAACUGGUUAGGAAAAAGUUCCUGCUCCAGUGAAAACAGGUGAGAAAAGUUGGAUAAGCAACUUUUAUGAUGUUAGUUGUAACAGAGUUUUCAUUUAGUCUGGCACUACCAUUAUAGUUCAAUAUUAGUUCGAUGUAUUGGAGAAUUUGAUAAAGACUCAAACAUGACUAAACUAACGGAUAAACUUUCAUCUAAAGACUUUAUGGUACGUUAAAGAGAGAAGCAAUCACAUAUAAUAAAAGAAGAUUCAUAUGAACUUUAGACAAUUAUUACAGUGACAGUUUAUAAGAAAAGGAAAUACUACAAUGACAACAUUACUAAGACUAGUCUGCAUACACCGGCAAUCAUAAUUUUGGCCUUUGAACUCUAUACCCAUGAGUUGAUUGCUGGUCGAGAACCUGAAGAAUUGAUUCUCGUAUUGCUCUAUCGGAGAGGGCAUUUGCAAUUGAACCACGGAAUCGAAAAUCAAUUACUGAGAUAAGGUUCAGCUCCCUGCUUGAUUGCCUCACUCAAAGCAUGCUUAUUAAUUUGAUUAGAACACUCUGUUACAAGGGUCAAUGAUGCCAAUGUUAUAUAUACAAUUAUUUUUCUCUUAGAAUACGAGUGUCACUAUAACAAGGUAAUUAGUCAAACGAGGUAGUUUCGUUCCGGCAGUAAAAAUGCAGACCAAUAAUAUCAAGAUAAACAUACUCCAUCAAUUGUCCACAACUGUUGAGCAGGAUGGGUUGAGCUAGAGGGAAUGGGAGGGGACUAGGAAGGGUGUGGAAAACAGAGGGGAGUGUGGAAGAGGAUUUUGCCUGGUCAUGCUGGGGCCAGGUUAAACCCAAGACCAACCCCAUGCCUUUGCUAGGCUUUUUUGGUGUUGAACCUGAUGUUAAGAAGAUGACUAUUGGUAGUCCUCUAGGCCAUCCUCAACCAAUGAAAUCUUGACUAUAACCAUUGACAUGAAAAGAUAAAUGUUCCGUUUUAUAAGAAUUCGAUGCUAUAUUGUCACUAUAGAUAUCCAACUUAACUAUUUUUGAGUCGAGCAUAUAUGUGGAAGAGGUUAAAUAGGAGGUACAACUAACCAGUAGCAAAGACAAAUCCACAGUGGUGCAAUGCCAAAACAACUUCUCCUGCAGCCAAGGUCGCGCCAUGGCGCAUGCACAGAUCUGGGGAGAGAGUGCAUGGAAAUAAUUUCUCGAGGAUAUAUUCUGCAAAAUACUCAUGAUCAUAUUUUGCAAGAGAAGAGAGAGCCUGCGAAGCUAGUUCCCUCAAACUUUUUUCCUAAAGGAUGAACAGGGCUCAAGUUAGGUUCCCGUAUUUUACACAAAUAACAAAACCUAAAAAAAGCAUCAUCAACAGAAGAGAGUAGACAAUGCCGUUAGGACGGACUAUUUUGCAUAUCUCAUCACUAGUGCGCUUUAAUCAUGAAGUCAAAGCUGUUCACGAGAAAUUUCUUCAGUUUCUGACAAAAACAACCUAUAAUAAGGCACUAGCAUGCUCACAUGAUCCAGAAAUAAGAAAGAACUCUUACUUAAAAACUGUUUCUGUUGCAGUUUGGUUGGUAUAUGAUAUCCAAUUCUAAAUUGAGUUUCACAAUAUACUCUCAAAAAUCAUUUAAGUCUUGAAAAUAAAAUUGUAUUUUGCUCAAAUUAUCCAACUAACUUAAAUCUAUGUUCUUCACACUACACAGUAUAAUAAAUCAUCAAUUCAGUCAUUAAGCUGUUGGGAAAAAAGGAAAUCAGAACUGGAUAGAUUGCUCAAUUGAUCAAUCAUAAAAGUUUUACUGAUGUCAAUAGAGUUUGAUGUAAUUAGCGAGAUACUAUAACUGCUUCUUUAACUCAACAAGAUUUGUGCAUAAGCCCCAACAAAAACCCCAGCAAGACCAAAAUAUAUAAGCUCCUAUCGUCGAUAUAAAUUCACAUUUUUUUCAUUUGAUGAAAGCGCAUGAAAACAGAAAUAGUAACACAUUAAGGAAAAUAGAUAAAAAAUGCCUUCCCAUUAAAAAAAGAAUGCUGUUGAUGGUUUUUGUCUACCCAAAUGAAAGGAUGGAUACAUGGGGAUGAAGGCAGGAAUGAUUAUAGAAGAUUAAUAUAAAAAAAGAUUAAAUUUAGCUGAAGUCGUUUAAAAUAGUGACAUUAGAAACCACACACAUCAUUUGGCUAAUUAAACACAGCGCUUACAAGUACAAAAAUCGUGAACUAUCACUCUAGUAGGAUAUAAACGUACGUCUACUUCCAAUAUUAAAACGCAGACUGAUGAUAGUAGCAUACCCAGUGGGGUACUUUGUAGCAUAGUAGCUCUUCAGCAAAAGGAUAUAGAUAAUCUUUGUGUUGAGCAAUAAGUACAGCGACAUGAAGGUAAGAGUUUGAUCGUGAGGCCAAAGAAAAAUAAUCAGCAGUAUUCACUAAGUCAAUGCCAUGUGGAAAUGCUCCCUGUCGUCCAACAUUUUCUUGAAAAGCAGCUGCAGCAGCUCUCCUACAGUUAACCUACCCACCAAUAUUCAAAAGAACUCAAGUAAGAGAAAUGCAACACAGCGGAAAUGGAACAUGGAAAAGUUAACAAAAGCUAAAGGCCGGCUGUGUUUGCAAAAUUGAGUAACACCUCACGGUCGUAACAAGCAAUUGUUAAUAGGUGCGGAGCAAGUUGUUCGAGAACCGCCUUCAUAUCUGUGUAAGAAUAAGCACGACCAAAUGCCCAGCAAACAUAUGCAGCAGCAUCACGGACAUGUGAUCCAAUGCUAUGUGGACCUCUCCGUACAUCAUAGUGCAAUGCCUGAAGAAAAAUGUUAUCUUGUCAAAUUGGCAGGCAAUAUAAGUGUCUCAACAAUGAAUAUGAGUAUUUACUUUUGGUGGACAUACCAUUGAGAACAGAGCAAAUUUAUUUUUAAAAAAUAAAUUCAGCAUUUUCGACAUGCAAAGUGGUAUAUUGUUCACACAAAAAAAAGGUGUAUCGUGGUUAAAAGAUUACCAUCAAACAUUUGAUGGUCCUUUGGGUACCAUCAAAUAAUCAUGUACCACAGCUUUUUAACACAUUCAUUUCUUUUAGUUAUAAUUCAUCAGCACAAUGCCAGUGAUUGUCGCUUUUAAACUCACGAUGUCAAGACCAGUGGCUUCAGUUAUUCCAUACUAAAUGAUACUAUAAGCCAGCAUGACUUGGAGUUGGAGAGGACACAAAAAAUGGGUGGAUCUACAGACCAGUGGGCCGAAGAGAACAUAAAAUCUAGAUAACUAAUCCUAGGCAAAUAUGACCGUGUUCAAAUGGAGGCCAGAAAGGGUUAAAAAGGGACUCUAUUGCCAAAAAAAGCAAUGAAAAACAUUUAUUUGUCCAACGCUCUAUGGGUACAUGUCUACGUCUCUCACUGCUGUCAAACCCUUAAAACACAAGCCCACCUCCUCACUCCUAGUAUACCAUGCCUCCUAUGGCUGAAGCCUCCCACCUGCAUUGACUUUCAUGUUUUUCUUCUAAUUCCGAUUGUUUGGUCCAUUUCCAUUUUUUAUUUAUUUACAGGCUGCUAAAUCAGGACAUUGAUUUCAUAUUAAUCCUUAACAGUACUUUGGAGGUAGAGAAAUUUCAAGAGUAAGAUGUCACAUUCAAGAUAUCAUCUCCAACCCAAGGAGGAUCUGAGAAAACUUGGCAAUUGCUACUGACGUGACUGAUUUCAAGGUACGUUUGUCUCAAAAUCAGCAAAGAAUUCCGCCUUUUCUACAACUUUUUGUUUUAUUAGGGAUCUCACUUACUAUUGAACCUUUUUGUGAGUUUCUGCUUCUUGCCAAUAAAUUGAACUCGAUGGAUUCAAGCCAACUUUUCUAAAUUUUCACCCCCAACACCAAAGUGAUCUAUAUAACCUUCAAGGAGAUAUUAAACCAUUUCAUAGUCAAUAUGAAACGUGCAGACCAAGGGCAAAUUUAGGGAAGGAAUGAACUCUUUACUCAUACCUUAGUAAUAACAGGAACUACUCGAGGAAAACUAGCAGGUAAAAGCAAGCCCCUACGAGCAAGUUCUGCUAAGGCCAAGCACCCACCAUGCCAUGAUCCAUCACCCUAAAAAUUAGCAUGAUAAGCAUAGUCAGUCACUGUCGCCAGAAAAGACAGAAAAUAAAUGAAUAGGGAAAACCUUUAUGCUGCAGAUCUGCUUAAUUCUAGUGGAUGGUUCUUCACAGAACCUAAUGAUAAACAUUCCAAUGAAACAAAAUUUUAAAUGAAAGAUUAAAAAUAAAAAGAACCUCGCCCGGGGAAAAGAGUUCUAAUACAGAAGACAAGACAUCCUCUGACAGGGAAGCUGUUAAACGUGCCGUUAUGCGCCCAAUACCUUUUGCAGCAGACCACCUCACAACUGUGUCCUGCAGUAUGCAAUCAUGGCCCAAUUAAAGUUGCAACCUCCGUGAAUGACUUGUCAGAGAGCAAAAGAUACUAGCAAAUCAAGAUCAAGUAAACUAAAUAUUUCUGCAAAGCAAAUAAAGGUAACAUGAAUCUCAGAGGAACACAUAAAAAUAAUAUUCCCCUGACGCUUUACUAAUGAUGAAAGUAAACUAUGCUAAUUUUAUGAUAUCAUAAAAAAAAGACGAAGAAAAAGAUGUAACAGUUCUCCUAAACAGAGUAGCAGCCAGGAAUUGAAAACUGAGAUCUGUAUCAACGAUCUGAUUGUUACGGAGGGAACUGAUACAGUUCCCUUAAUCAUAAAUGCAAGGAGAAGGAAAAAAGGAGAAAAACAGUCAGUUCAAGAACUAGAUAACUGAUUAGGGAAGUAACUUCACCUCCCUUAUUACCAGAGACUAUAAAUAAGGCCUCUCACUCAGGAGAGGGGGAGGGAAAACGAGGAGAUCGUCUGCAGGAGGCCUGUUCUACAUUUGGCAAGAUGAAAGCGGGAGUAUCCUUGUCUACUCACUGUUCUUUCUUUUCUGAUUCAUUCUUCCUCUUCUCCGUUCACAAUCCUCAGAUCUAGAGAUUUCGAUCUGAGAAGUGUAUCCCAAUGCGAUUGAAUACUACAUUUCCUUUCACACAUAGCAAGGAUCGUCUCAGGAACCAACCCUAGAAAAUCUGCUGUACGAUCAGAGAGAACUGGACAAAACAAGUUGAAGCUCACUGAAGAUCAUACCUUCAAGGCAUAACGAUAAUUUGAAGGAUGAUCUGUUUCCAUCGAGAAGCAUCAUCUUUGGGGACUACCUCAUCAUGAAUUUUUUUCUCCUUGAGAACCGAGUUCCCCAAAACAAAUUAUCAUUAUUACCGCACAAGUUAAGGCAUUCAGCGUCUGUUUGGUAAGCCCCUAAACCUUAGGAGAGGGGAACUCAUACAGGAAAAAUCGGGCCUAAUACCAGGUGGGACUUGGACCUUAUCUAGUAUGUUGUUCCGUUCCAUUAUCUUAGGUUCCUAGGUAGUAUGGUGCUCUAGGUGUUCUUGGCAGCCAGGGCAUGGAUCUUUAUCGAAAAUUGAGAGUAAUCUAGGUGUUCAUAAGGGAGUGAGGACGUGUAUUUUGGGCAACGGGGUAUUUGAAAUCUUUAGGAGACCUGUAUUUAGCUUUUUCAUAGUCUUUCAGCUUUAUUCAGCAUUUGAGCCUUCUUCUUGGUUCCAAAUGCUACAAAUAACUCGUUUAUUGCCAACUUCGAUGGAGUUGCAUUCUUUCUCUACAAUUUUUGUUUCAUUGCUGUUGUCCUUAACAUUCCCCAAGUAUUUCCCCUACAUCAGGGACCAUACACUCAUUUUUUUAGUUUAAUCAUUUUCGUCAAAGAUAUUUUAUCUUUUGUCUCGACUUAAAAAAUGACAUUGGUAAUCCACAUUCCAUUUUCUCAAAACUCAUCAUGUAUAAAAUAUGUUCACGCUGAAAACUAUCCUCCAUGGCGACAUACAUGCAUUUGUCAAUUUCCAGACGCAAAAUAUUUUCCUUACUCUGCUCUCAAACACAGGUAGGGCUACUUCAUUCAUCCAUUGAGAAUCACUUCUUUUAUCAUUCAUAUUCUAGAACACCUCCAUAUUAUCAUGAUUCAAUAAGGACACCUUCACCAGUCAGCCAAAUCCAAUCUGGAACGGCCUGGAUAUGGCAAAUUUAAUUGGACAACUUCUUUCAGAAUUUAUCCAGAGAUAAGCAGGAUUUCUCUGCUGAAAAAACAAAAUCAACGAUAGAACAAGGACAUAAUUAAUUCCACAAGCUUACAAAGAACCCAAAAAUGAAGCAUUAGAUGACUGUAGUGAACAUUCUUUCAAGAAAAAGGAAUCCGAAAAUGAAGAAUCCAGCAAAAAAAUCGAAAAUUAUGAAGAAUCCAAAAAUGAAGCACUAUAUGACCGUAGUAAACAUGGUUUCAGAAAAAAGAACAGGUUAUGAUGUAUGAAGUCCUUGAAUUUAACACGGUAAAGCAACGAAAAACAAUACAGUGAUUAGCCUCAACUCAUACCGAGUCUCUCAACCCGGACAGUAACAGUUCAAUGAUUUCCUCUAUGACUUCUGGAAUAUUCCCAUCCUCUUCCUCAAGGUAUCCUUCACCCGGGAUAUUAUUUUUAAUAGUUUGACCAUAACAGGAAAAACCUCCUUUGUCAUUUGUGGCCAAUGAGAUAGUUUCUCCAAAUGAGCUUUUCACUGCCUGCAGUAAAAAAUAGGUCAAUGUAAAGUCAUUACAGAAGCAAUAUAACAGCUGAAGUAAGCAAUCUCUUAAGCUAACUUCAUAUGUGGAAAAUACGUACUCAUAGAUGUUAUUCAGUUAGGUCAGUAUGAUUUUACUACAAAAAUUUUGUACUCCAGCCAAGAUUUCUAGUAAUACCUAACGCUCUUCCAAUGUCUGUAAAGUUGGCAUUCACUAUACCUCAUCCCACCAUGACAUUAUUUAGGGGCAAAAUAAAACCAAAAGAACCAAAUUCAAUACAUGUUUCUAAAAUGAGCUCAGGAAAAAAAAAAUUAUGACACAAUUUAACAUGCAAGAGCAAGACAGCCAAGAAUUAAUGCAUAAGAGAUGAAUCAAUAUAUGUUAAACAGAAUGAUGUGUGAACAAUUGUGGACUUGACUAACCAGAUACCGCCAUGAAGGUGAUCGAUGUGGCAGACAAACAAGACCAAUAUUCUGAAAUAAUUUCAUCAGGAAUUUCCGCAGCAGAGGACUUCGAGAUGCAGUAGUUGACUUCAGCAAUACGGAAGAUUUGUUCCAGAUAUCUGUAGAUACAUUAUUCAACAUAUUUCUAGUACCAACCUGUGCAGAAUAACAAAACAAAGUUAGGAAAUCCAAAAAAAUCCAAACAAAACUUAGAUAACCGAGUAAACAUCUCAGGCAUAGAGUGUAUUAAACAGCUUUCACAAGGGGAAAGUUUCUCUUUUCAAGGUGACUUUCGACAGAGAAUAAUCCACAGACAAAAGACAAUAAAUGUCGUGUAAUGUUGUUAAAAAGCAUACUUCUUGGAACACAAUCAUUUCCGUAUGUACAUUAAUUAAAAGAUUUAGAGCUGAUCUAUGCCUUCAUUCAUUCAAAUAAAACAGCCUCUGGAGAUAUUUUUUUAAAAAGAGUCCUUCAAAAAGCAUUGACGCAUGAAAAAAAUAAUUCUUGACCUACAAUAUAAAAAAGGUUGCAUAUCACAACGUUUGUGUAUCCAUUUUGAAAGCUAACUGCAUUCAGGUCUUGUUCCUAGUUAGCCAAAAAAACAAGCCAUUUCAGCACAGAAAUGUGUUCGCAUAAUACAAUUUGUUCACAUAAUUAAGCAAUAUCUAAUAUACAACAUAUGGGAAACAAAAGAGGAUACUUAUUUAAGAUAAACUUUUAAAUAGUUAUAUUGGAUAAAACAUAUGUAAAAAUAAACGGUAUAAAAAAUAAAAAAGGACAAAAACAUAAACUAUGUUAAAAUUCAAACCUUGAAUAUUGAAGUUAAUGCUUCUACAACACCAAGCAAUCUAAAAUGGUCCACAACUUCAUCUGUUACAGAUACAAAAACUUGAUUCCCCCAUUCGAUGAAACUGAAAGUAAAAAGUGAAAAAAAGGUCAACUCUUUAUGGUUCAGAAUUUCUACUAAAGUAUAUGAAAUUGUCACAGUCAAAUUAAGGAGCUACCCAAGAUUCCCAGGACAUUUGAAGAUUAUGUAAAUUUAGUUCCAUACAAGCCAUUUAUGAGGGGUUUCUUAUGAUACUGAAAACUGUCGAAGAUAAUUCCCUAACACUUGAACAUCUAUCACAAGAGAAAGGACAAUGUGAAGAUUGUCCUGAUAGUAAAUAAUAAUUUAAUUACAUAAAAAAAUCCACUAUGAUACAGGAGCAUGUUUAGUGGACCUCAACAAUUCGUCAUCAUUCUUCAUCCAAUCCCUUAAAAAUAUGAAAGUACCAUGUGAUUUUUAGAAAUUAAUAUAGGGCUGAGAUCGAAAAUCCAAGAGCUUUAUUUUAGGUUUCAAACCUUAGAAACUUACUCCUAUACCUUCUUCCUUAGAAUUACAUACUCUUUCUCUACUCAUCUUUUAUUGCAACUGUCUUCACGCUUUAUGUCGCGAGUUUUCUCUUUCCACUACAUUACAUUAUCUGGAGCUGUUUUCUAGUAAAAUAAUGAGAUCGGUUGAACCAACAAAAAUUAAGCUGUUCAGUAACAAUAGGAAAUAAAAUACAUAGAACAUUAGAGAGACUUCAGAUGAAAUUCUCAAACUUUGUUUCCUUCAAGCUUUUAUGAAUAAACGAAGAGUGCUUCUAUCAAAUUGUAUUUACAAGAACAUGCAGGAGAAAAGAAGAAAGGAAGAUGACUUUAUCUUUCAAAAAACCUUCCGAAAACUCUAUCAGAAGAUGAGAAGGUAAACACUAACGCCCGUGAUUGUUACACUUGCCACCAUUGAUUAUUAAGUGGAAUGCAUACAAUGCACAAUUUCAUAGACUACAAUGCAUAGUAGCCACCAUUAUUACACUGUCUAAUAUGGAUUCACCAAAAAGGACCGUAUGAGGAAAGAAACUGGUACUGAUAUCAUAAGUACCACUCCAGUUAGUAGGUAAUCAAAGAUGAAAGUCAAAUUUUAAGAACGAGUUGACUUUCGAGAGAAAAAGCUUGUAGUUGAGUUAUCCUAAUCAUUAUUAAUGAGUCUGAGGAAACUUACGCUUCAUUUAAAAGUGAACCUUCAACAACCAAGGCAAUUCCAAUGAUAUCAUGAUAAUAAGGACACCAACAUCGAAAUUUUUAUCUCCAAAUCAAUGGCACAUAAGAAAAGCAUUUAAUGAGAAAGAGCACACAUAUUUGGAAAACUUUCGACAAAUAUGAGGAACUCGUUUUAAAAAAAUAAAAUCAGCCACUUAACGAUAUCUAGAUGGAUAUCAUAUUCACAUUCACAGUUCUGCAUCAAACACGAAUAUACUUAUAUGGCAUAAAAAAGGAUGAAGAAUGAAUCUGUCAUAGAGCAGGGAACUAUCUUAGAAAUAGUACGAAAAAAGAAAGGAACCUGUGAAAAGCGCUUGCCAUGUCAGGACGUGUUAUAAGCCUUGCAAGCAAUAGGCAAGAGAUUCUACGCAUGGGACCAGCACUGGAAAGAUAGUCCUUGGAAAACCCUAGUAGUCUCAGCACCAAAGGAGGAGGCUCAAGUCCACCAAGAUAAUUACUGUUGCCAACACUUGUGUCAAUGGAAGAGAUGUCAAAAGGAAUCAAAACAAGAAUGUACAGCCAGAGAAGCAUGACACAUUUUGUCUCCAUCUCCCCAGUACUUUCCUGGCGCAAUGAUGUCACUGAAGCUGCAGUAUGACAUUUUUCCAGAAGAGAGACGGCAAGCUCUAGAUCAGAAACUUGGUGUGGAAAAAAUUUAAUAACACUCUUGUACCCACAAACCGUGACCAAUGAAUAGAUAAUAAUGCAUAGAGGCUUGAUAAUUUCAAGAAUUUCAUCAGAAUCAACCCCUACUUGGAUAGUUUUAGAACGCACAAUCAACAUUAAGGGAGAAACAAUGCUCUCCAGGUAAGGUUCUAGAAGCUCUCCCUGCUCUUGAUAUUUAUCCAUCUGCAUGAAAAAGAUGAAUUCAAUCGAGAUGCUAUCCAAUAAACCCAAAGAAAAAAAAAAAUAAGGCGUGAGAAAAGAAGAAAAAAAUAAUCACAGAUAAACCAAUCAAACAGAGGUUUCAUUAAAAUGAAUUGAUCUAACCCAUUGGUAUAAAGAAAACAUUAGCUUAAAGGACUUCUACAUGUUUAAUGGCAAUGCUACUAGUUCUGCAAUGUACAGUAGUUGACUGUUGUCCGAAGUUGGUUACAAGUUAUAUUCGUCACAUGAUUCAACACAGAAAUCUAAAAGUAUUUAUGAACUUCAAACUCAAUAGAAUGGUCAGAAAAGAGCAUCUUAUUCAGUCGAGAUUUUAUUUUUUUGUUGAAUAACUGUUCUAUCAAAACAGAAAUGCAUAAUUGUUGACCGGAAUUCGGUUACAAAUUAUUCUGUGAUUAGAAUUAGCAAUCUUUCGUCAUUUUAGGAAAUUUAAACUAAGCUUGAGGAUUAAAAAAAGAGUAUCAGAUCACUGGGGAUAUCCUUCUUAAUGUUUGAUGAUUCCAUAAUCUAAAAUAGGAGAUUAAUGACUUAACUUGGUUUCAUAGUUAUUCAAUCUAGAUUGAACAUGGAACUGAUCAAGAUUUCGUGAUGUUUGAACUUAUCCAGCAUGUAUAUCAUUAUCAUUUUCGUGAAGGUGUUUUGCAUCCCACAUCUCACCAAAAUAACAAAAUCUACAUUAUGUGGAGGAAUGAUAAUUGCCAAAAUGGGCUCUAUUUCAAAAAAAAUACAAGAGCCCAAGCCCGACACUUUUUCUAUUCGAAGGUUAGAAGUAUGGCAAGUUCAGAGAAGAAAAAUUCAAUAUAAUGGUCAACUAACUGUCACAACCCAAAAAUGAAAACCUAGAGUGUCAUCAAAAACUUUUCCCUCUUUUCAUUUUAAACACAACUUACAAAUCUGUUUGAUAUAAAACAUUGAACUCCCUUAAAAAAAAGUGAAUACUCUCUGGAAAAUGAGUCUUACACAAAAAAUAUUUCAUUACUUUCGAACCAAAUAGUCCGGCACAAGCUGGAAAGCCGCAUGUAGGUGCUAUUUACACAAUCCCGUGGAUAUUCACGGAAAAGUUUAUGUCUGGUUGGCAAGCUAGAGCCUGGAACUCUAUCAGAACGAUAUCCAUUUUGCUAUUACACAUUUACAAUGAAAAAUGAUCACCAUCCUUUAUCUCUUAAUAAAAAUACACUCCAUGUCUGCGUUCACCCUUUCUUACCCCGAAUUUCUUUGGGCAUACUUGCUUUUAUCAACAGAAGCUGCAUAAAAAUUCGAAAUUUUAGAGGACAGCUUGCCAAACGAAAUCAUUUGAAAGCCUGAAUUUCUCAACGCUCAUCCCUCGCUAUUAAUUCCGCCUGAGAAGCAAACUACGUUUCAGAAGACAAUAAGUAGCCAACUACAAUCCGUCACUCAGGUCCUACUGAACACCACAAACCACUCUUCACGGGCAUCUAAGACUCAAAAAGUUUAAUCAUUGACAAGACUUUAUUCCGAAAAUUUUUCAGCCAGGUGAUAGGAUGCAUCCUACGUCGGGACUAUCUACAAGGAAGCAAGCGGCCACAGGAAUCAACCCAAGUUUUCAGCAAGCGGCCUCCAACCGGCGGUUUACAUUCCCAGAGAUGUGAAUGAACUCCCCAAUGCCUGUGACCCAGCAUGUCUAAGAUACUAGGAGAACUGAAUCCUGCAGACACCAGAGCGGAACACUUGUUUCUUUCAUUUCUUCAUGAGCAGCAAAUUUAUAGUUGGUCGACGUGCCGACAUUCAGAGAAAUUAAAGGAAACACAGAGUGCAAAGCGUACAAUGGAGCGGAUCUUCUGCACGUCAGAGGGAUCGGUGACGCCGCCAUUGGCGGUGAUGCAGUCCAAUAGGGAUUUAACAAGCUCCCACUCUUUCAAGAAGUACUUGAACAGGACCCUUUCCUUGGAAUCGUGCUCGUCAUCAUCUCUUGCAUCCCUCGCGAGGGACCCUGCGACCUCCUCCAUCGGCCAGCAGCCACACAGAAAAUUGAGCGGAUCGUUCACACGAAGACGACAGCAAGCAGAGCGCCUCUCUCUCUCUCUCUCUCUCUCUCUCUCUCUCUNNNNNNNNNNNNNNNNNNNNNNNNNNNNNNNNNNNNNNNNNNNNNNNNNNNNNNNNNNNNNNNNNNNNNNNNNNNNNNNNNNNNNNNNNNNNNNNNNNNNNNNNNNNNNNNNNNNNNNNNNNNNNNNNNNNNNNNNNNNNNNNNNNNNNNNNNNNNNNNNNNNNNNNNNNNNNNNNNNNNNNNNNNNNUCUCUCUCUCUCUCUCUCUCUCUCUCUCUCUCGCAGAUCAUAUAACGUAAACAAGAACAAAAAGAGCGCCCUCCUCAGUCAGUGAAAGAACCCAUUGAGCACGGUGGUCUUGGGCCUACACGGAAGGAAGCCCAAAACUCGAAAGCCCACUUCUGAGAACGGCCCUGUCCACAGAUAGGCCGGCUCUCCUCUCCAAAUUGGGCCGAUAACGGAAGCCCAAAAAAUAAUGGGCCGAAGCAUAGACCGACCAACAAGCCGAAAAUCAGGAAAAUAAAUUAAUAACCCGAUUUUUGAAGGUUUGGUAGUUACCGGAAAUACUUCCAAGAACCUUCCAGAAGCUGUGUCUCGAGCAUUCUGGAAGCUCUUGAGUGGCAGAUAUCUGCGAGAUCGCGGUGCUGCCUUCACCGGUUGUCGCCGGUCGGUGUUAGGGUUGCAGGACGAUCAUGGCCGACGAGGCGAAGGCCAAGGGCAACGCCGCAUUUUCAGCUGGGCGCUUCGAGGAGGCGGCCUCCCACUUCUCUGAGGCCAUCGACCUCGCGCCCACCAAUCAUGUCCUCUACUCCAACCGCUCCGCCGCCUACGCCUCCCUCCACCGCUACGCCGAAGCGCUUACCGACGCGCAGAAGACGGUGGAGCUGAAGCCCGAUUGGGCCAAGGGUUACAGCCGGCUUGGGGCUGCCUACGUCGGACUCGGUAGUUUCGACGAUGCUAUCUCUGCUUACAGGAAGG
rnacentral:lncRNA from 1 species